UACGGGGGGGGCAAGCGUUGUUCGGAAUUACUGGGCGUAAAGGGUUCGUAGGUGGCCAACUAAGUCAGACGUGAAAUCCCUCAGCUCAACUGGGGAACUGCGUCUGGUACUGGUUGGCUUGAGUGCAGGAGAGGAACGCGGAAUUCCAGGUGUAGCGGUGAAAUGCGUAGAUAUCGGAAGGAACACCAGUGGCGAAGGCGGCACUCUGGGCCAGUACUGACACUGAGGAGCGAAAGCGUGGGUAGCGAACAGG
rnacentral:rRNA from 1 species